rnacentral:rRNA from 1 species
GACGAACGCUGGCGGCGUGCUUAACACAUGCAAGUCGAACGGAAAGGCCCUGCUUUUGUGGGGUGCUCGAGUGGAGAACGGGUGAGUAACACGUGAGUAACCUGCCCUUGACUUUGGGAUAACUUAAGGAAACUGGGGCUAAUACCGGAUAGGAGCUCCCGCUGCAUGGUGGGGGUUGGAUAGUUUCGGCGGUUGGGGAUGGACUCGCGGCUUAUCAGCUUGUUGGUGGGGUAGUGGCUUAGCAAGGCAUGGACGGGUAGCCGGCCUGGGAGGGUGACCUGCCCCACCGCACCUGGGAUACGACCCGGCCUCCACCCGGAGGCAGCGGUGGGGAAGAUUAUACAAUGGGAUGGAGCCUGAUGCGACCCCGCCGUGUGGGGUAUGUGGGCCUUGGGGUAGUGUACCGCUUUCGCUUGACACGAAGCGUGAGUGACGGUACUGGGUAAAGAAGCUCCGGCUAACUCCGUG